CGCCUUACCUCAGUUGGUAGAGCGCGUCACUAGUAUGGGCGUCUAGAACAUCUUACGGUAUGCAAUGACGAGGUCAGUCGUUCAAAUCGGCUAGCGA